rnacentral:lncRNA from 1 species
CCAAAAAAGUGGAGCUAUAACUGUGGGAAAAGGGGAUCUGAAGUCAGACACAGGAUCCACAGUAGCCUGGGGACCUUUCUCACCCCCGCCCUUAAGCAGGCCCCAACAUAACCGGCUGAGAAACCUCCUCUGCCAGAUCCUGACCUGAGCCAGGAGGCGGCCAGGAAACUGGAUUUUGGGACUGGGAUUUCAGAGAGGAAGCUGGAGAGCUGCAGGGUGGUCAUCUGUCACUUUAUUUUGCCCGUCUUGUAGCAUGUGGGUCUUUCGCAGCAGGAAGUGUGUUUUACAACCAGAGCCCCCGCCCUCCUGCAGCGCAGGCGCAGCUGGCUGGGCUCCUGCUUCCCACUCUCCACCUCAUCCAUAUUUGUCCUCGUCCCUGCCAGUCUCGAAAAGGCACUCUGUCACGUGUACACAGGAAAGGGCCCUGACAAGAGGAUGGGACUGCAGUUGUGGCUGCCAGGUCUCACUCUCCCUUGGAUGGUCGGCGGGGUGGGGGUGGAGGCCAGGGCUGUAGUGCAGCUCCCGCAGGUGCUGGCUCAGGGGGAGCAGGCAGGCUCCGGUUUUCGGUAAUCCUCCUGGAUGGGGAUGGUGCUGCCCUCCUCCUCCCUGGGGCAGCUGUAAUGACAAGGCUCUGCAGGCUCCACAGGACUUUCUCCUUUGUCUGCAGAAGGAGAUCCGAUGAGUCUUGGCCAGCAGUGGGGGCAGGGGGAGACGGGAGAAGGAGAUGGGUAGAGGCGGGUGCGCUUGGGGGAGGGGUGUCAGGAGCACGCCAGCUAAGGGGAGAGAAGGGGUAGGACCAAGGCUGGUGAAGUGGAGCUGGUGGGUUUCAGUGAGAUUCCAGGCGUGGGCAGUGGGGUUGAGCCAGUGGGGUGUGGUGCAGGGGCAGGACCGGAGGCCUGUGUUCUGUCUCUUACUUGAUCUAUAUUUCCUUCGUUGAUGGAGGAACAGGGCCCCGGCCAGGGUGAAAACAAGGAACAUUCCAGAGAAGAUCACAAGGAUGCGAAUAAAAUCGGAGCUGCACAGGGAUCUUUGGGCUGAGCUUUCUGUCUGGCUUCCCUCCUGGCCCCUCGUGUAUGCAUUCUCUCUAGCGGUGGGGAUUAAGGAGAAAACUCACGUGGCCAGUGGGUAGAGAGAGUCCGGGCAGGCAGCUGCCUGAAGUCAGCCAGAGUCUGCAUGUGCCCAGCUGUCCUGGCCUCCAGCAUCUCUGGAAAAACAGAGACAGAAUGAGUAGCAGCAGGGGACCCCAUAGGGCACAUCUGAAGGCCUGAGAGGUGCUGGAUGGGAUGGGAAGGCAGAAACAGGCUGACCUUAUCUAGGGGUAGGAGUGGGGAGUACUGGUUGGGGUAUCACCGCUACCCCACGUGAUGGCACAGAGAGUUGCCUGGAACUUACCACUGACAUAAGGUAAGUGGGUGGGCUGAGGGUGUGGGCUCAGGGCCUGAGACGACCGAGCGGUCAGCGAAGGGUUUGGAAGAGGAUCACACUCGGUGCACUCCUUGUCCCUGCACUGCCAGCCAUUGCGACAGGCACACUCAGCAUUGGCAGUGAUGGUGCAGUUGCGAACGAGAAGACCUGGGGGAAGAGAGGCCCAGGGAGCAUAGGACACUCAGACCUGUGGAGACCUUCAAGGUCCACUUGCUUCAUCCCCCAACCCCCAUCCCAGGCCCACCUCUAGGGACGUGCUUCCCUUUCCAUUCCCACCCCUGCAAAGGCCUGCCCUUUGCUCACGGUCCCCC